AAUCAAUUGAGGCAAUUGCAAAUAUUGAAUUGCUCUGGAUGUAAAAGUUUAAUAUUGCCUUCUUUGACAGGUUUGACCAGUCUGCAGAGUCUUAGGCUGGACUACUGUAAGAUUUUCGAAUUUCCCAACAGUAUUGGCUCUCUAUCCUCACGGGAUAGAUUAAGAUUUCGUAGGAAUGGUUUCAAGAGCAUACAUGAAAGCACUAAACAACUUCCUAAGCUGUGGAGUCCUGAUUUAAGAGAUUGCAAGAGACCUAAAGUUUUACCAGAGUCUUCAUUGUCAUCUCUUCAUUAUUAUUUAUGUGCAUCAAAUUGCACGUCUUUGGCAUCUGCACCAAUUUUGUUCCUACUUCAAGUGAAAAAUGGCCCUCGAGGUUCGGUUCGCUAUUUACAAUUCGAAAAUUGCAUCAAUUUAUAUGAAGUUUCAUGUAAAAAUAUUAUGGAAUGUGCAUUGGCAGCACAACUUCAGUCAAUGGUCAAUAACUGUCGUGUUAGUUUGCGAAUUGCCGGAAGUAAAGUGCCGCGGGGGAUGAGGUAUCGGAAUAGUAAUGGAUCUUCUUUGUCUUUCUCACUUGACGGGCCGCAUGACUUGAUGGGGUUCUCUUUCUGCGCUGUCCUUGAUCCUAAAAUUCAUCCUUUUCCCAAAUUUGCGACUAUUUAUUGUGAGGCCCUUUUCACAGACGAGUCUACACGAAAUUCAUGCGAAGCAUUCCUUGAGUCUUUCUAUGGAAGCGAAUCCCAAUCAGAAAACGUGUUACUUUGGUCUACACCAAUCACAAAACGUGACAUUCUGGAUUCCAUAGACCGUAUCUGCAAGGCCUCAUUUCAGUUCUUCGUUCAAUAUUAUGAUGGUGGGAAUCAGGAAAUAAGCGAGGAGUUGAUAGUUGAAUGUGGGGUUCAUCCAAUAUUCAAACAUAAGAGGAAACCAAGAGGGAAGACGAAAGACGAAGAAAAGUAAACUCUCUGUUUGAACUUGCUUUCCUUCGUUUGUUCAGUUUUCUGUCUCUUCAUGGAUUUGCUUUGUCUUUUAACACGUUGAAAACCUGCGACAUCGUAGUCUGAGGAAGAAGAACCCAUGCGGCUUCUGGGGUUCAAGCGCCAUUUCUGACGCCAUUAGAGCUCAGUGCGAGCUUCCUCGUCUCCUCCGAAAAUUCCUAGUUGCACCAAAGUAUAUACACCCAAGCAAUAAGAGGACUCAUCGGAUCCACCAGUUAUUCAAUGGUGGUGCAUGCAAGAAGUUCUGUGUCUCCUCUAGCCGUCGAUAAGUCCUCUGCUAACCAAAGUUGUGGCCAGCAAGCCGACAAUUGAACAAAGAGAGGUGUGAUACAGAGAGGUAAUAUAUCAGAUACAGCUUCCAGAACCUGCAAUAUUAGGUAAGUGAAGCUUGAACAUCAGAAUCAUGCCAUUAUAUUUACACGGGGAGAAGGAUUGCAAACAAUAAAUAUGAAUCGGGUACCAUAUUUAUAAUACAUUACAUUGUAAAUUAGAAGAAAUGCAACUUCUUACAGAAACUGAAUUGAUUAAAAUAUAAUAGGAUGAAGAAGCCGUCAAAUUAAGGAACUUGUUCAAGAAUUUCUUCAAAAGCAUGAUGGAUGCCCAACAAUAUUUGGAAUGAGCGAGCAUCUGUUCACUCUCAGGUACUUGUAGCUCGGAAACUGGACUGUAAUAGCACUGCUGCUUGUAUAUUAACAUUUGUGAUAUGCAUUCGUCGCGGUGUUUCUUUUGAUCUGUGCAGUGUUUCACUCAACCUGCAAUUCAGCAUUCCAGCCACGCACACCUAUAGCAGCUCUGCAAUUAACAACCACAAAACGCAGGUCCUCAGAUCAUGUUCUGCUCGCAUGCUCAUAGCCUUUGGAUGUAUCUGCACUUGCAACAAUUGCCACUACUUUUUCCAUGUCUCAUGUUGUCAAUUGCCUCAACAGAUCACUCACCCAUUUGACCAUGUUCACCCAGUUGCAACUACUUUCUUCAUAUCUC
rnacentral:misc_RNA from 1 species